GGUAACAGGAAGAAGCUUGCUUCUUUGCUGACGAGUGGCGGACGGGUGAGUAAUGUCUGGGAAACUGCCUGAUGGAGGGGGAUAACUACUGGAAACGGUAGCUAAUACCGCAUAACGUCGCAAGACCAAAGAGGGGGACCUUCGGGCCUCUUGCCAUCGGAUGUGCCCAGAUGGGAUUAGCUAGUAGGUGGGGUAACGGCUCACCUAGGCGACGAUCCCUAGCUGGUCUGAGAGGAUGACCAGCCACACUGGAACUGAGACACGGUCCAGACUCCUACGGGGGGCAGCAGUGGGGAAUAUUGCACAAUGGGCGCAAGCCUGAUGCAGCCAUGCCGCGUGUAUGAAGAAGGCCUUCGGGUUGUAAAGUACUUUCAGCGGGGAGGAAGGGAGUAAAGUUAAUACCUUUGCUCAUUGACGUUACCCGCAGAAGAAGCACCGGCUAACUCCGUGCCAGCAGCCGCGGUAAUACGGAGGGUGCAAGCGUUAAUCGGAAUUACUGGGCGUAAAGCGCACGCAGGCGGUUUGUUAAGUCAGAUGUGAAAUCCCCGGGCUCAACCUGGGAACUGCAUCUGAUACUGGCAAGCUUGAGUCUCGUAGAGGGGGGUAGAAUUCCAGGUGUAGCGGUGAAAUGCGUAGAGAUCUGGAGGAAUACCG
rnacentral:rRNA from 1 species